rnacentral:rRNA from 1 species
UGGGGAAUAUUGGACAAUGGGCGAAAGCCUGAUCCAGCCAUGCCGCGUGAGUGACGAAGGCCUUAGGGUUGUAAAACUCUUUCGUCGGGGACGAUAAUGACGGUACCCGAAGAAGAAGCUCCGGCUAACUUCGUGCCAGCAGCCGCGGUAAUACGAAGGGAGCUAGCGUUGUUCGGAAUCACUGGGCGUAAAGCGCACGUAGGCGGAUAGUUAAGUCAGGGGUGAAAUCCUGGGGCUCAACCCCAGAACUGCCUUUGAUACUGGCCGUCUCGAGGUCGAGAGAGGUUGGUGGAAUUCCUAGUGUAGAGGUGAAAUGCGCAGAUAUUAGGAGGAACACCGGUGGCGAAGGCGCCGCUCUGGGCCGAAACUGACGCUGAGGAGCGAAAGCAUGGGUAGCAAACAGGAUUAGAUACCCCCGUAGUCCCUGAGCGGGCUGGCAAGGCGCAU